UAGAAUAUUGUACGCGAAAGCAUCAGUGCUUGAAGUGUAAUGUUAAAAUGCGAUAACAUUAAGCGUCGAUCAAUUUAUAGCCUUUUCUUCUGCAUAUCUUAUCUUCCCUAAAUGACAGCAAUUAUUACAAAAGAUAAUUUAUUGUUUAAAUCGAUAAUCGAUGUACAAAUCCAACAUAAACUUAUGAAUUUAAAAAAAAAUACCUUUCGCUGCAAGAUCGAGAAAUAGUAAACGAAUGAUGUACAUAUGUAUAUAUGUAUUAUCACGGAUGAUAUUAUUUUGACACCAUGGCUUUAGUAUGUCAGGUUUUGUGUUACGUGCUGCCAUAAUACAGGCGUUUCACGAAUUAAUUGAGAAAUCGAAUGAGCACUCAGCCGGUAAUUGCUAGGUCGAUAAGUAGUUCAGUCCUUCCAUAAUUACGUGCUUUUUAUUGUCAUUGACUAUACAAAGUGGAUAGUGUGAAGAGUGUGAAGAAGUUACGAAAACCAAAUUUAUAGGUUAUAAAUUUUAUUUCAUACAACUUGGACAGUAAGAAGUUAUGUAUGAUAAAUAUUUUAGCAUUAAUAUUAUAUCAUAUAAUAAUAGGACUGGACUAAACAUAAUUUCAGGACAAUCGUUAACGAUACCAGGCCACCAUGGAUAGCCUUUAAUACGUGCCCAAACAAUGCUACCUGCAUUGUAAUCGUUUUCAAUUAAGUCAGUUUUGAUGGCUUGUGAUUUUGGAUGUUCUGGUACAUCACAAGAUGCCAUUGAUUUAUCUGUGAAGUCACGCAAUGAUAUUAAACAUGUAUGAAAUACACAAAAUAUUACAAAGCAAACUAUGUACAGACCAGAAUUCAUUUCGCAAUACCAUAGUUUAGGCACAUCUACCGGAUCAUGGCUGUAGCCAGUAUAAUUUCUCUUUCCAAUCAAGAUUAUCGUCACAUUGUGACAACACCUCUGCAUUUGGAUUGAAUACUGACGAACAAAAAGAAAAAGAAA